rnacentral:rRNA from 1 species
GGGUUGUGAGGUUAAGCGACUAAGCGUACACGGUGGAUGCCCUGGCAGUCAGAGGCGAUGAAGGACGUGCUAAUCUGCGAUAAGCGUCGGUAAGGUGAUAUGAACCGUUAUAACCGGCGAUUUCCGAAUGGGGAAACCCAGUGUGUUUCGACACACUAUCAUUAACUGAAUCCAUAGGUUAAUGAGGCGAACCGGGGGAACUGAAACAUCUAAGUACCCCGAGGAAAAGAAAUCAACCGAGAUUCCCCCAGUAGCGGCGAGCGAACGGGGAGCAGCCCAGAGCCUGAAUCAGUGUGUGUGUUAGUGGAAGCGUCUGGAAAGACGCGCGAUACAGGGUGACAGCCCCGUACACAAAAAUGCACAUGCUGUGAGCUCGAUGAGUAGGGCGGGACACGUGGUAUCCUGUCUGAAUAUGGGGGGACCAUCCUCCAAGGCUAAAUACUCCUGACUGACCGAUAGUGAACCAGUACCGUGAGGGAAAGGCGAAAAGAACCCCGGCGAGGGGAGUGAAAAAGAACCUGAAACCGUGUACGUACAAGCAGUGGGAGCACGCUUAGGCGUGUGACUGCGUACCUUUUGUAUAAUGGGUCAGCGACUUAUAUUCUGUAGCAAGGUUAACCGAAUAGGGGAGCCGAAGGGAAACCGAGUCUUAACUGGGCGUUAAGUUGCAGGGUAUAGACCCGAAACCCGGUGAUCUAGCCAUGGGCAGGUUGAAGGUUGGGUAACACUAACUGGAGGACCGAACCGACUAAUGUUGAAAAAUUAGCGGAUGACUUGUGGCUGGGGGUGAAAGGCCAAUCAAACCGGGAGAUAGCUGGUUCUCCCCGAAAGCUAUUUAGGUAGCGCCUCGUGAAUUCAUCUCCGGGGGUAGAGCACUGUUUCGGCAAGGGGGUCAUCCCGACUUACCAACCCGAUGCAAACUGCGAAUACCGGAGAAUGUUAUCACGGGAGACACACGGCGGGUGCUAACGUCCGUCGUGAAGAGGGAAACAACCCAGACCGCCAGCUAAGGUCCCAAAGUCAUGGUUAAGUGGGAAACGAUGUGGGAAGGCCCAGACAGCCAGGAUGUUGGCUUAGAAGCAGCCAUCAUUUAAAGAAAGCGUAAUAGCUCACUGGUCGAGUCGGCCUGCGCGGAAGAUGUAACGGGGCUAAACCAUGCACCGAAGCUGCGGCAGCGACGCUUAUGCGUUGUUGGGUAGGGGAGCGUUCUGUAAGCCUGUGAAGGUGUGCUGUGAGGCAUGCUGGAGGUAUCAGAAGUGCGAAUGCUGACAUAAGUAACGAUAAAGCGGGUGAAAAGCCCGCUCGCCGGAAGACCAAGGGUUCCUGUCCAACGUUAAUCGGGGCAGGGUGAGUCGACCCCUAAGGCGAGGCCGAAAGGCGUAGUCGAUGGGAAACAGGUUAAUAUUCCUGUACUUGGUGUUACUGCGAAGGGGGGACGGAGAAGGCUAUGUUGGCCGGGCGACGGUUGUCCCGGUUUAAGCGUGUAGGCUGGUUUUCCAGGCAAAUCCGGAAAAUCAAGGCUGAGGCGUGAUGACGAGGCACUACGGUGCUGAAGCAACAAAUGCCCUGCUUCCAGGAAAAGCCUCUAAGCAUCAGGUAACAUCAAAUCGUACCCCAAACCGACACAGGUGGUCAGGUAGAGAAUACCAAGGCGCUUGAGAGAACUCGGGUGAAGGAACUAGGCAAAAUGGUGCCGUAACUUCGGGAGAAGGCACGCUGAUAUGUAGGUGAAGUCCCUCGCGGAUGGAGCUGAAAUCAGUCGAAGAUACCAGCUGGCUGCAACUGUUUAUUAAAAACACAGCACUGUGCAAACACGAAAGUGGACGUAUACGGUGUGACGCCUGCCCGGUGCCGGAAGGUUAAUUGAUGGGGUCAGCGCAAGCGAAGCUCUUGAUCGAAGCCCCGGUAAACGGCGGCCGUAACUAUAACGGUCCUAAGGUAGCGAAAUUCCUUGUCGGGUAAGUUCCGACCUGCACGAAUGGCGUAAUGAUGGCCAGGCUGUCUCCACCCGAGACUCAGUGAAAUUGAACUCGCUGUGAAGAUGCAGUGUACCCGCGGCAAGACGGAAAGACCCCGUGAACCUUUACUAUAGCUUGACACUGAACAUUGAGCCUUGAUGUGUAGGAUAGGUGGGAGGCUUAGAAGUGUGGACGCCAGUCUGCAUGGAGCCGACCUUGAAAUACCACCCUUUAAUGUUUGAUGUUCUAACGUUGACCCGUAAUCCGGGUUGCGGACAGUGUCUGGUGGGUAGUUUGACUGGGGCGGUCUCCUCCUAAAGAGUAACGGAGGAGCACGAAGGUUGGCUAAUCCUGGUCGGACAUCAGGAGGUUAGUGCAAUGGCAUAAGCCAGCUUGACUGCGAGCGUGACGGCGCGAGCAGGUGCGAAAGCAGGUCAUAGUGAUCCGGUGGUUCUGAAUGGAAGGGCCAUCGCUCAACGGAUAAAAGGUACUCCGGGGAUAACAGGCUGAUACCGCCCAAGAGUUCAUAUCGACGGCGGUGUUUGGCACCUCGAUGUCGGCUCAUCACAUCCUGGGGCUGAAGUAGGUCCCAAGGGUAUGGCUGUUCGCCAUUUAAAGUGGUACGCGAGCUGGGUUUAGAACGUCGUGAGACAGUUCGGUCCCUAUCUGCCGUGGGCGCUGGAGAACUGAGGGGGGCUGCUCCUAGUACGAGAGGACCGGAGUGGACGCAUCACUGGUGUUCGGGUUGUCAUGCCAAUGGCACUGCCCGGUAGCUAAAUGCGGAAGAGAUAAGUGCUGAAAGCAUCUAAGCACGAAACUUGCCCCGAGAUGAGUUCUCCCUGACUCCUUGAGAGUCCUGAAGGAACGUUGAAGACGACGACGUUGAUAGGCCGGGUGUGUAAGCGCAGCGAUGCGUUGAGCUAACCGGUACUAAUGAACCGUGAGACUUAACCUUACAACGCCGAAG